rnacentral:tRNA from 1 species
GGGUAUAGUUCAAUGGUAGAGCACCGGUCUCCAAAACCGUCGAUCUGGGUUCGAGUCCUAGUACC